ensembl:rRNA 5S_rRNA 5S ribosomal RNA
GCUUACGGCCAUACCAACCUGAAUACGCCCGAUCUCGUCUGAUCUCGGAAGCUAAGCAGGGUCGGGCCUGGUUAGUACUUGGAUGGGAGACCGCCUGGGAAUACCAGGUGCUGUAAGCU